rfam:Solanum lycopersicum cultivar Heinz 1706 chromosome 2, whole genome shotgun sequence.
AUACCUUUCUCGGCCUUUUGGCUAAGAUCAAGUGUAGUAUCUGUUCUUAUCAAUUGAAUAUCUGAUAUGUGAAUCAUUGAUUCACAUGAUAUUAACUCAAUUUUUUAAGGGGAGAGUUCAUUAACGUAGCUUGCUACGUGGACCCUCAAGUGUUGCUCAUGCGUUGCACUACUGCACGGGCCUGGCGCACCCCAC